AAAAAAAAAAAAAAAUUUAAAAAAAUAAUCUCUUUCCCGAUAAGAAUAGGAAUAAUACUGUGUACAUCUUAUACUCCUUAAAACUCAACUAUAAAAUUGUACUAAAUUCGUUAUUACCGUAUAGGAUCAAAGUCAUCAUAUUUACAAAAGGGUGAAAACCAUUUAUAUUCCCUAAUUUUACUUUAAAAAUCAAACCCCCCUCAAGUUUGAGAAAUCAUCAUUCUCCUCCUCCCCC
rnacentral:lncRNA from 1 species